AGAACGAACGCUGGCGGCAGGCCUCAAACGUGCAAGUCUAGGGGGUGUAGCAAUACAUCACCGGCGGACGGGUGCGUAACACGUGGGAAUAUACCUUUUGGUUCGGAACAACUGAGGGAAACUUCAGCUAAUACCGAAUGUGUCCUUGCGGAGAAAGAUUUAUCGCCAAAGGAUUAGCCCGCGUUCGAUUAGCUAGUUGGUAGGGUAACGGCCUACCAAGGCGACGAUCGAUAGCUGUUCUGAGAGGAAGAUCAGCCACACUGGGACUGAGACACGGCCCAGACUCCUACGGGAGGCAGCAGUUGGGAAUCUUGGACAAUGGGGGAAACCCUGAUCCAGCCAUGCCGCGUGAGUGAUGAAGGCCUUCGGGUUGUAAACUCUUUCGACGGGGACGAUAAUGACGGUACCCGUAGAAGAAGCUCCGGCUAACUUCGUGCCAGCAGCCGC
rnacentral:rRNA from 1 species